rnacentral:rRNA from 1 species
UACAGAGUCUGCAAGCGUUAUUCGGAUUCACUGGGCGUAAAGGGUGCGCAGGCGGCCGUGUGUGUGAGGCGUGAAAGCCUGGAGCUUAACUCCAGAAUUGCACCUCAAACUACACGGCUAGAGCAUUGGAGAGGGUAGCAGAAUUCACGGUGUAGCAGUGAAAUGCGUAGAUAUCGUGAGGAAUACCAGAGGCGAAGGCGGCUACCUGGACAAUUGCUGACGCUCAGGCACGAAAGCGUGGGGAGCAAAAGAG